CAGAGAGCUUGCUCUCGGGUGACGAGCGGCGGACGGGUGAGUAAUGUCUGGGAAACUGCCUGAUGGAGGGGGAUAACUACUGGAAACGGUAGCUAAUACCGCAUAACGUCGCAAGACCAAAGUGGGGGACCUUCGGGCCUCAUGCCAUCAGAUGUGCCCAGAUGGGAUUAGCUAGUAGGUGGGGUAAUGGCUCACCUAGGCGACGAUCCCUAGCUGGUCUGAGAGGAUGACCAGCCACACUGGAACUGAGACACGGUCCAGACUCCUACGGGAGGCAGCAGUGGGGAAUAUUGCACAAUGGGCGCAAGCCUGAUGCAGCCAUGCCGCGUGUGUGAAGAAGGCCUUCGGGUUGUAAAGCACUUUCAGCGGGGAGGAAGGCGAUAAGGUUAAUAACCUUGUCGAUUGACGUUACCCGCAGAAGAAGCACCGGCUAACUCCGUGCCAGCAGCCGCGGUAAUACGGAGGGUGCAAGCGUUAAUCGGAAUUACUGGGCGUAAAGCGCACGCAGGCGGUCUGUCAAGUCGGAUGUGAAAUCCCCGGGCUCAACCUGGGAACUGCAUUCGAAACUGGCAGGCUAGAGUCUUGUAGAGGGGGGUAGAAUUCCAGGUGUAGCGGUGAAAUGCGUAGAGAUCUGGAGGAAUACCGGUGGCGAAGGCGGCCCCCUGGACAAAGACUGACGCUCAGGUGCGAAAGCGUGGGGAGCAAACAGGAUUAGAUACCCUGGUAGUCCACGCCGUAAACGAUGUCGAUUUGGAGGUUGUGCCCUUGAGGCGUGGCUUCCGGAGCUAACGCGUUAAAUCGACCGCCUGGGGAGUACGGCCGCAAGGUUAAAACUCAAAUGAAUUGACGGGGGCCCGCACAAGCGGUGGAGCAUGUGGUUUAAUUCGAUGCAACGCGAAGAACCUUACCUGGUCUUGACAUCCACAGAACUUUCCAGAGAUGGAUUGGUGCCUUCGGGAACUGUGAGACAGGUGCUGCAUGGCUGUCGUCAGCUCGUGUUGUGAAAUGUUGGGUUAAGUCCCGCAACGAGCGCAACCCUUAUCCUUUGUUGCCAGCGGUUAGGCCGGGAACUCAAAGGAGACUGCCAGUGAUAAACUGGAGGAAGGUGGGGAUGACGUCAAGUCAUCAUGGCCCUUACGACCAGGGCUACACACGUGCUACAAUGGCAUAUACAAAGAGAAGCGACCUCGCGAGAGCAAGCGGACCUCAUAAAGUAUGUCGUAGUCCGGAUUGGAGUCUGCAACUCGACUCCAUGAAGUCGGAAUCGCUAGUAAUCGUAGAUCAGAAUGCUACGGUGAAUACGUUCCCGGGCCUUGUACACACCGCCCGUCACACCAUGGGAGUGGGUGCAAAAGAAGUAGGUAGCUAAC
rnacentral:rRNA from 1 species